rnacentral:rRNA from 1 species
AAAGCCCAGCGCUGAAUCCGUUGGCCACUGGCCAUUUGGAACUGUAGCGUAUAGGUGCAUGCCUAUCGGCGGUUUUGCUCACCCAAAGUCCCCUUGAGUGGGGCCGCAGUCCAUAGAAGGUGCUAGACCUGUACGGGUGGCGAGGCUGCUGGUGCGGUUGUACCUUGGAGUCGAGUUGCCUGGGAACGCAGCUCAAAGUAGAUGGUAAACCUCAUCUAAGGCUAAAUAUGACCACGAGACCGAAAGCAAACAAGUACCGUGAGGGAAAGUUGCAAAGAACUUUGAAGAGAGAGUUCAAGAGGGCGUGAAACCGCUGGGAAGGAAACGGAUAGAGUUGACGAAGCCCGGUGGCAUUCAGCCGAUAUGGUGCCGAUGCCCGAUUGUCCUUUUUUCACCUUCUGUAAAAAGGGGGUGGGGACGGUUUGGUUGCGUCGGAACUGCGAUCGGUGUAUUUGCUCUGGGUGUGCGCUGAGAGGUUCGUAGCGGUAUGUUGACACUGUUGCCAAAGAGGACUGUGCUCAUCUGAGUGCGGAAACCUUUGGUGGGUUUAGGUGUAUCCGCGAUGAACUGCUGGUUAGUUCUGGUUGUGUUGCUCCGCUGGUUUGCGCAAUGGCUUCUAUGUGGCUGGUGUGACUAUUGGGCGGUCGCUUGCGACUUGCCUAUAGCUGACGUUGGCUCGUUGGAAGUUCCGGUUGCGUUGGGCAAAUACAUCUCGGUGUAAAAGUCGAUCACCUAUCCGACCCGUCUUGAAACACGGACCAAGGAGUCUAGCAUAUACGCGAGUCAUUGGGUGGUAAACCUAAAGGCGUAAUGAAAGUAAGGAUCGCUUUAGUGCGGUUGAUAUGGGAUCUGUACGGUUUCUGACUGUGCGGCGCACCAUAGCCCCGUCCCAGUUGCUUGCAAUGGGGCGGAGGUAGAGCGUAUACGCUGGGACCCGAAAGAUGGUGA